AACGAACGCUGGCGGCAGGCCUAACACAUGCAAGUCGAACGCCGUAGCAAUACGGAGUGGCAGACGGGUGAGUAACGCGUGGGAACAUACCCCUCGGUUCGGAAUAACUUAGGGAAACUUGAGCUAAUACCGGAUACGUCCGAGGUUUUAACCGGCCUCGGAGAAAGAUUUAUCGCCGGAGGAUUGGCCCGCGUCUGAUUAGCUUGUUGGUGAGGUAAUGGCUCACCAAGGCGACGAUCAGUAGCUGGUCUGAGAGGAUGAUCAGCCACAUUGGGACUGAGACACGGCCCAAACUCCUACGGGAGGCAGCAGUGGGGAAUAUUGGACAAUGGGCGAAAGCCUGAUCCAGCCAUGCCGCGUGAGUGACGAAGGCCUUAGGGUUGUAAAGC
rnacentral:rRNA from 1 species